GCAAUUUUAUAGUACAACAAAUACUAUACAUGACACUAAAGAGUGUGGAAAAGUUGCUGCUUUGUAUCCUGAACCUAAUACCAAAACUGUAUUCAAAAGUUUUUCUAAAAAACUAUCUCCACCAGUAGUAAUUUAUGCUGACAUCGAAGCAGUUUUGGAAAAUUACCAUAUAAAUCUUAAUGAUCCAUCAAAAUCAUCAACUACUAUGGCACAGAGGCAUACAGCAUGUGCAGCAUCAUUUUAUAUUGUACAUAAAUACAAUGAACAUCUAAAUGAGAUGUGGACAUACGAAGGACCGGAUUGUAUCCAAAAAUUUUGUCAAGCACUUAGGAUGAAAACCGAUGGACUUUAUGAGAAGUACUGGAAGUCCUAUAAAAAACCAAUCUAUCAGUUUAACAUUUGGGAUGAGGAUUAUCAGGAACACGGUGAUUGCUAUGCCUGCGAGAAACAAAUUUCUGAUGAUGAUCGAGAAAAAUUCUUUGAUCAGUUUACAGGACAAUAUGUAGGUCCUAUUCAUAAGCUGUGUAAACAGACAUUUAGAUUAAGCGAUCCCUUUUUCCCGGUAGUUUUUCAUAACUUGUCUCGUUAUGAUAUACAUUUAUUUGUUACGUCAAUAAAAGAUGAACUAAGACCCA